rnacentral:rRNA from 1 species
GCAAGUCGUACGAGAAAGUUCCUUCGGGGAUGAUUAAAGUGGCGCACGGGUGAGUAACGCGUAGGUGACAUACCUUAAGAUGGGGGACAACAGAGAGAAAUUUCUGCUAAUACCGCAUAUAUAAAGAGAAUUUGGAAAUAUCUUUAUAAAGAUGGCCUCUCCUUGGAAGCUAUUGUCUUGAGAAUGGCCUGCGUACCAUUAGCUUGUUGGUGGGGUAAUGGCUUACCAAGGCUUUGAUGGUUAACCGGUCUGAGAGGAUGAUC